UUGCAACUGUCACAUCUGUUAUUGUUUACUACGUGCAUUUUGUUUAAAGUAUAAUUGUCAAAAGCGUUACCGCUCAUUAAUCUGUUUAUGAUUUUUAUACCCGAAGGACUGAGGUUGCAGUUCAAGUUGUUAAACCAAGCUGUGGCAUCUUUUAUGCUCCAUCCCACUACAGUGAAGAUACCGUGUGAAGGAGCGUUUUUGGCAGCCAAGUCCACGAAAUCGUUUUGGGGUAUGCCAGAGUGGCUGGCUUAUGUAGUUGUCGUGACUGGACUUAAGAAUUGCAAUUGCGCUG